UCGCGGGUCGUCCAACGGAUAGGACGCCGGGCUCUGGACCCGGAAAUGAACGUUUGAAUCGUUCCCCGCGAACCA
rnacentral:tRNA from 1 species